UCCUGGCUGCUCUGCAGGAAAGCAGCGUGCAAAUGCUGUGCGUGAAAAUGCCGAUUCCUCUAGAAAUGAGAAAUAACCGAUCCCGCUUACGCUUUGUUCCCCCCUUGGAACGCAAGGUGUUGGUGCUUUAUGCAGGAGGAGCAGCUGAAGGAGGAAAGCAGGGUGCUGGCUGGCUCACCUGCAGCACGUGGAGGGUUUCCCAGGGAGGUAACCUGACUGAGAGAUGGCAGAACCUCACCAGGACAUCACCGGCAUGGAGGACCACGCAGCCGGCCCGGAGAGGCAGCGCAUCCCCUCAGAUGACUUUUGGACCAUUGUACGUUACGCACCACGCCGAGCCCUUUACAAAGACCUGCUGGUUUGCAGUGAUGAGAACGAAUGCAUCAUGGACGUGUUCAGUAGCCAGCUCUGGGAGGGAGCCUCAUGGCUCUAGAAAUGGCAGAGGGGACAGCAGUGACUCAGGCUAUCCCCUUCAGAUACCGGUGGAUGAUGGGUCGGAUGAGCCCGUUUCUGAAACAUCCGACGCUAAGAGCACCCCAACUACGGAAGAUGCCACAGCACCUUUAGUGGAGGAAGGAGACCAAGAGGGUCAGCACGGGGAGAUCCCAGAAGGAACCACAGCUGAAGAGGCCGGCACAGGAGCCACCCCCAGCCUCGAGGACCACGCAGCAGGAGACGCUGCUCCAGCUCCAGGGGAGCCCAGCUCUCCAAAGCUGCAGCCCGGCCCCCAGGAGCGCGGGGGAGAUGCAAUCCGAAGGGGCGGGCAGCCCAUGCAGCAGGCAGCUGGCGUUCUUCAGGAGCCUCUUCAGUCCCAAGACACAAAGCCUGCAGCCACAGCUCCCACCAGGAUCGAGGUCACUAUCCCCAUACCCCUGGAUAUGUACCAAGGUGCCGGACCGGCUGAAGACGGCCACGAGCUGUGGGAUCGUGGGGGUGGAGAAGGCGUCGCUGUGGGUCCGGCACUGGGAGAAGAGCCAGGCCGUGAUGCCAGCACCACGGGGAUGGCAGGGGUGGGUGGCACGGAUGCCUCCCGUGCUGCAGAUGGGCCGUCUCCUUCAUAUACCGGAGCCCCGCUAAAAGAAGAUGCCAGCAGAUGGGAAGGAGAGGAGGACCGCGGUAUUGAUGAAGCUUCUCAGCAGGGUUUGCCUGCCCUGGCGGGACGACGUGUUUCUCCAGGACCCGAAACAACCGAGGAAGCUCUUAAAGAAGAAGGAGAAAGCAAGUCCAGAGAUGUCCCCAGAGACACAGCGGGAGAGGCGCUCCUUGUUGAAUCCGAAGCACGUAAAGCAGAAGAGCAAGAGGAGAGACGGCUGCUGAAGGGGGAAGAAUCACACGCAGAUGUCACCCCAUCUGAGCCUCCUGACACCCAGACAGAGCAGACCGGGGCAGGAGGGGAUUCUGGACCCUUAAUAGAAGCAGCCAAACCCCCCGCUGGCUUAAAAGAUGGCAAGGAAGACAGAGAUGCUGCCCCGGGAGAGGUGGUGCCGGAUACAGGAGAAUGCCGGACGCCCAAGAAGAAGCGUGGUGCCCACGUUGCAGAUCAAGCAGUCAGUCGCGUUCCUGUCCUGAAAGCUCACACUGAGAACAAAGAAAAGGGAGGGGCUGAAAGCGAGGAGAAGAAACCCAAGAAAUCCUCACCUUCCACUGCCAAACCCCCAGGCGAUAGAGCCUCCACCCCCCCCCACCACCGACACACCUCCUCUAGCACAGCCCCUCCGAAAUCACCCUCCAGCCCUGCAGCCACCUCUAAACGAGCCUCUUCUGUCACACCCCGACCUGCCAGUACAGGAACGCAUGAAACUAAGGCCAAGGGCCAGGAGAUGAGAGGCAGCACGAAGCCGGGCACACCGCGCUCCGCAGCCGGGCAGGCUCAGAGGAACUCCACCAACGCCACGCGCAUCCCAGCAAAAACCCCCACGGCCCCCAAGACCCCUCCUGGCUCUGGCAGAAAGGAGCAGAAAAAGCCACCCCCUGCAGCAGCGAAGUCUGAGAAAGGUGAGCAGCCCAAGUCUGGAGACAGAAGCGGUUACAGCAGUCCCGGCUCCCCCGGGACUCCCGGCAGCCGUUCCCGCACUCCUUCUCUGCCCACCCCACCAGCCAGGGAGCCCAAGAAGGUGGCCGUGGUUCGCACGCCGCCGAAAUCGCCCGCGUCCGCCAAGAGCCGCAUCCAGCCGUCGGCCGCUCCCAUGCCCGACCUGAAAAAUGUCAAGUCCAAAAUCGGCUCCACCGAAAACCUGAAGCACCAGCCCGGAGGAGGCAAGGUGCAGAUUAUUAAUAAGAAGCUGGACUUUAGCAGCGUUCAAUCCAAGUGUGGCUCAAAGGAUAAUAUCAAACACAUCCCAGGAGGAGGCAGUGUGCAGAUUGUUAAUCAGAAGUUGGACUUUAGCAGCGUUCAAUCCAGGUGUGGCUCAAAGGAUAAUAUCAAACACAUCCCGGGAGGAGGCAGUAAGACGUGGUUUAGACGAACCCUAACGAGUCCUGCGCGUGCCUGACGUGGACGGAGCUAACGGGGCCGUGUACAAACCACGUCUGUAACAAAACAUCCCAUUAACUGAGGCUUGACGCUGCCUGGAAGGCUCCGUGCCUCCCUGCCCGGCCUCUAGCACGCAGUGAUGCUGAUGCAGUCGAUGGAUAGAUUUAAAAGCCAGUGCAGCCCUCGUUGCUCACUGCACUGCUAAAGUGCACGUGGCCCUGCACGGAAGUAGAAGCGAGGUUCCUGACCUUUCCCAUCAGGCAAGUAUGAUCCAUGUGAAUAUCGAAGCUCCUCCGUGUGCCCGGCGCGUGUCAGCCUGGAGUAACGCUGAGGGAACCGAUUGGAACUCGGGCGUCUCCAGCCGUUCCCAGACACGUGGCUGCACUCAGCUCUCAGGUGCUGUGCCAGAAACCUGGAGAUGCUCCGCAGGGGUUGGGGGAUUUACACCAGCUGCCCUGGAGGCAGAGUUUGGGUCCGGGAAGGACGAUGGGCGAAGGGAGGAGCAUCACCGAGAGCCCAGCAGGGCGGCCCUGGGGCUGUGCCCGGCCUGUGCCGUCUGAGGAAGCUCCCGGUGCCCCCAGAUAUUCCCCACGGAUUUUCUUGGUGCUGUUUUUGAUUUCUGGAUGCCCUCCCCGAGAAACUGAGCAUUGCAGAGGGCUCGGCACGUUAAGCAUUGGGACAUAACUGGGUGUGCCACCUCGGUCUUAAAUUUGCUGUCAUUCAAGGUUUAUUGACAGGCCGGAGGAGCUGCUUGGCAGAGGUCAGGCCUCUGUGAGACAGGUUCCCUGCCGGCUUUGCCAUUCCUUAAACCUAGCUCCUGUGCUGGCUGGGCUGCCUGCUGCACGGUGGGCGCUUGUUGGGCCAGGAGCUGGCGUGUGCCACACAUCAUCAGCGCUGUCAGCGGCGUUCAGCACGCGCUGGGCGGGCACUUACAGCUGCAGCGGGUUAAGGAUUACCUGGAUUUUUAGAUAGAGACCAUCACCCUCUGGCAGAGCUGUGCCUCGCUCCCUCUUCCAGCCGAGGGGCAACAAGAAGCCACCAGGGUGCAAUGCAGCUGUGCCUUAAUGCUCUGCAACGCAGUCAGCAGUGACAGUAACCUGGGGUCAGCGCCUUUCUCAUGGCAGUGGGUGCUCUGACACGGAGGUACGUUAGGCAGAAGCUGAGCUAAGCGUUGCUGAUGCUGAGGUGGGAUCCCCAGGUCUCUGGCACUGAUUUCCCGGGCAAGCAGCUCUGUGCCCGUUUGCCUUUCUUGUUAAGGUGGCUGCUCUGCUCCCCAGCGGGACAGCAGGAGUUCAGCAAGCCUUGUCUGUAAUAAAACAAAACAAAACCAAAACCAAAAACUGAGCUGGAAGGAGAGCGGAAAGGGAUUCAGGUGUGGAUCACUUGCAGUGGAAAUGGGAGGUCCCUCCGAGCCGGGUCCCAGCCCCGCGGUGCUCACAGGGCCGCUGGGGUUGGAAGGGCACAGCUCUGUCCCCCCGGCUCCCGUUUGUGCCCAGCUCUCCUCCUGCUCAGUGCACUGAACGUGUGACCUCCCCCCACCCUGUCUUCACGUCUGUCUCUGCAGUGUGCUCCCAGACCCUACGGUCGCUUUUCUCCUCGUCUCUCUGUCCGAUGUUCCUGUCAAUGUGCUUGAGCAUCAGAGAUGGGGCCGACCCGUGUGCCUGGUGUCCAGCGCAGCGCACCGAGCCCGUGUUCCUGCAGGAGCACUCAGCCCUCGAGCCCUGCAGCUGCACCAAGCGUGGCUGCACGUGGUCUGUCCCGUCCCAAGCCCUGGGGAUGCUGUGCUCCCCCACCUUUUCCUGGCUGCAUAGUGGAGAGGGGGCAAUGCUGUGUGCGCAGCCACGCUCCCACCCGUGGCUCUGAGGGCGGGCACGGGCUGACGUGAGGUUUGGUGCAUGCACCUCCACCCCGGGCAUUGCAAGGCAGCACAGGGUGCUGUGUGCUGCAGGGGGGGAUGAGCUGCAGCCAUGCUGGUCCAAGGGCUGCCCGGGCGGUCCUUUUGGUGCUGGCACAGCCCUCUGAGCACUGGGAGGGCUCAGCAGGCACACGGAGAGCAGCACACGCUGCCCUGGCACUCGCAGGGUCGGCCGAUUCCUAUGGGUCCGAGUCCCAGCCCGGGGCCCAAGGCGGGCGCUGGGGACGCGGCGAUGUCCUGUCACCUGUGUCUCUGCUCCCGGUGUCACUGCUGUGUAGGUGCUGUGGUUUCCCAUCCCUGGCUCUCCCGGUGCUCCCAGCUCCCUCGGUGUUCUGCAGCGUGGUGUCUAACUGCUAACGUCACCGCUCAGCCCCAUCCCCUGCCCCAUCCCCUGCCCCUGUGUGUGUGUGUGUGUGUGUGUGUGUGUUUCUGGCACCCAGCAUGGGGCUGUGCCGCAGCACCAGGACGUGCCCCUGUUCUUUGCUGUGUGAUAAUUGCCCCUCAGGUUACAUGAUGGGAACUCUGGCCAGAUAUUCAGACUUGGCUUUGUUUUAUUUUUUUAACCCUUAUUUCCAUGACAGCAUUUUGGUUUUUUUUUUAUUUCAGAAAUGCUUAUUUUUUUGGUCACUCUCUUAUCAAAAGUUCCGUGCACAUUGAUCAUUUCUGUUCUUUCAGUUUUUGUGGACAUACAUAAGCUUUAUGUUUUACACCAGAAAAGGUAUUUAUUUUUUACGUUUUCUCUCUCUGGUAUAUCUCCUCCUUUUGGAUGAUGUGUAUGCAAAUCUUAAUUAAUCACCACUCCACUUUCUCUCUCACUUGAGCACUUUAAAAUUGCCUCUACUUCCCCCCCUCCGUGGAGAGGCGGUCUCGUGCAUGCUGACAUGUUAAGAGAGGCUCCUGCACACGGGCAUUAAUGAUCUCCCAUUCCUCGUGACGGUUUCAUUUAUCUCAUUAAUCCUCCUGGGGUGGAAGCUGUCCUUUCCCUCCAAUCCAGACCAGGUGCCGCUGUGUCGUGCCCCCCCCCCGUCCCCGCGCUGCCCAGGAGCUCAGCUCCUUCUCCUUUCUCCCGUGGGCAGGUUCAGAUCGUGUACAAACCAGUGGACCUGAGCCACGUGACAUCCAAGUGUGGUUCCCUGGGCAACAUCCAUCACAAACCAGGUGGUGGCCAAGUGGAGGUGAAAUCCGAGAAACUGGACUUCAAAGAUAAGGUGCAAUC